CUAAGUAUAGCAUCUAUACAGUGAAACUGCGAAUGGCUCAUUAAAUCAGUUAUCGUUUAUUUGAUAGUACCUUACUACUUGGAUAACCGUGGUAAUUCUAGAGCUAAUACAUGCUAAAAACCCCGACUUCGGAAGGGGUGUAUUUAUUAGAUAAAAAACCAAUGCUCUUCGGGGCUCCUUGGUGAUUCAUAAUAACUUAACGAAUCGCAUGGCCUUGUGCCGGCGAUGGUUCAUUCAAAUUUCUGCCCUAUCAACUUUCGAUGGUAGGAUAGUGGCCUACCAUGGUUUCAACGGGUAACGGGGAAUUAGGGUUCUAUUCCGGAGAGGGAGCCUGAGAAACGGCUACCACAUCCAAGGAAGGCAGCAGGCGCGCAAAUUACCCAAUCCCGACACGGGGAGGUAGUGACAAUAAAUACUGAUACAGGGCUCUUUUGAGUCUUGUAAUUGGAAUGAGUACAAUUUAAAUCCCUUAACGAGGAACAAUUGGAGGGCAAGUCUGGUGCCAGCAGCCGCGGUAAUUCCAGCUCCAAUAGCGUAUAUUAAAGUUGUUGCAGUUAAAAAGCUCGUAGUUGAACCUUGGGCCUGGCUGGCCGGUCCGCCUCACCGCGUGCACUGGUCCGGCCGGGCCUUUCCUCCUGGGGAGCCGCAUGCCCUUCACUGGGUGUGUCGGGGAACCAGGACUUUUACUUUGAAAAAAUUAGAGUGUUCAAAGCAGGCCUAUGCUCGAAUACAUUAGCAUGGAAUAAUAGAAUAGGACGUGUGGUUCUAUUUUGUUGGUUUCUAGGACCGCCGUAAUGAUUAAUAGGGAUAGUCGGGGGCAUCAGUAUUCAAUUGUCAGAGGUGAAAUUCUUGGAUUUAUUGAAGACUAACUACU
rnacentral:rRNA from 1 species